rfam:Schistosoma rodhaini strain Burundi genome assembly, scaffold: SROB_scaffold0003292
AUUCAACUGACGAGUCCCAAAUAGGACGAAACGCGUUUCGUGGAU